rnacentral:lncRNA from 13 species
GCCAGACCCACUGGUCAUCUACAAGUCCAUCCUAGGUAAAGCUCCGCCUUAUCUCAGUUCACUGGUCACGACGGCAACACCCACCCGUAGCACACGCUCCAGCAGGUGUAUCUCACUGAUCAUCCCUAAAGCCAGAAACCUCUUUUGGCCGCCUUUCCUUCCAGUUCUCUGCUGCCUGCGACUGGAACGAAUUGCAAAAAAUCUCUGAAGUUGGAGACUUUUAUCUCCCUCACCAACUUUAAACAUCUGCUAUCUGAGCAGCUAACCGAUCGCUGCAGCUGUACAGAGUCCAUCUGUAAAUAGCCCACCCAUUUUUACCUACCUCAUCCCCAUACUGUUUUUAUUUAGUUUACUUUUCUGCUCUUUUGCACACCAGUAUCUCUACCUGCGCAUGUUCAUCUGAUCAUUUAUCACUCCAGUGUUAAUCUGCUAAAUUGUAAUUAUUCACUUCUAUGGCCUAUUUAUUGCCUACCUUCUCAUGCCUUUUGCACACAAUGUAUAUAGAUUAUUUUUUUCUACUAUGUUAUUGACUUGUCUAUUGUUUAUUGUUUACUCCAUGUGUAACUCUGUGUUGUUGUCUGUUCACACUGCUAUGCUUUAUCUUGGCCAGGUCGCAGUUGCAAAUGAGAACUUGUUCUCAACUAGCCUACCUGGUUAAAUAAAGGUGAAAUAAAUAAAUAUAUAUAUAUUUUUUAGAUGGACCGCUUUGUCGUUGUAUGAACUGCAGAUUGCCCCUUGAAGGCUGAGGUCAGAGCUGACAAGGAAAUGAGAAAAGAGAAACCAUGAUUACUACAGUUUCAUCACUAAAAUGCAACAAUACAUGUUUAUUUCAAUCAUAGAACCCAUCUCUCUAUAACCCAUCUGUCUAUAACCCAUCUGUCUAUAACCCAUCUGUCUAUAACCCAUCUGUCUAUAACCCAUCUCUCUAUAACCCAUCUCUCUAUAACCCAUCUGUCUAUAACCCAUCUCUCUAUAACCCAUCUCUCUGUAACCCAUCUGUCUAUAACCCAUCUGUCUAUAACCCAUCUUUCUAUAACCCAUAUGUCUAUAACCCAUCUUUCUAUAACCCAUCUCUCUAUAACCCAUCUGUCUAUAACCCAUCUGUCUAUAACCCAUCUCUCUAUAACCCAUCUGUCUAUAACCCAUCUUUCUAUAACCCAUCUCUAUAACCCAUCUCUCUAUAACCCAUCUGUCUAUAACCCAUCUGUCUAUAACCCAUCUCUCUAUAACCCAUCUGUCUAUAACCCAUCUUUCUAUAACCCAUCU